UACGAAGGGUGCUAGCGUUGUUCGGAAUCACUGGGCGUAAAGCGCGCGUAGGCGGCUUUUCAAGUCAGGGGUGAAAUCCCAGAGCUUAACUCUGGAAUUGCCUUUGAAACUGAGAAGCUGGAGUGUCGGAGGGGAUAGCGGAAUUGCUAAUGUAGAGGUGAAAUUCGUAGAUAUUAGCAGGAACACCGGUGGACGAAGGCGGCUAUCUGGACGACAACUGACGCUGAGGCGCGAAAGCGUGGGGAUCAAAACAGG
rnacentral:rRNA from 1 species